UACGAAGGGGCUAGCGUUGCUCGGAAUUACUGGGCGUAAAGCGCACGUAGGCGGCUUUCUAAGUCGGGGGUGAAUCCUGGAGCUCAACUCCAGAACUGCCUCGAUACCUUGGAAAGCUCGAGUCCGGGAGAGGUGAGUGGAACUGCGAGUGUAGAGGUGAAAUUCGUAGAUAUUCGCAAGAACACAGUGGCGAAGGCGGCUCACUGGCCCGGUACUGACGCUGAGGUGCGAAAGCGUGGGGA
rnacentral:rRNA from 1 species